UACGUAGGGUGCAAGCGUUGUCCGGAAUUAUUGGGCGUAAAGAGCUCGUAGGCGGCUUGUCGCGUCGGCUGUGAAAACCCGGGGCUCAACCCCGGGCCUGCAGUCGAUACGGGCAGACUAGAGUGCGGUAGGGGAGACUGGAAUUCCUGGUGUAGCGGUGAAAUGCGCAGAUAUCAGGAGGAACACCGGUGGCGAAGGCGGGUCUCUGGGCCGUAACUGACGCUGAGGAGCGAAAGCGUGGGGAGCGAACAGG
rnacentral:rRNA from 1 species